rnacentral:tRNA from 1 species
AUCAAGGAAGAGAAUAAAUCCCACAACCAACACCCAAAGCUGGCAUUCUAAUUAAACUAUUCCUUG